ensembl:lncRNA
AUAGUUCUUGUUUUUAAUAUAGGAAAACUCAACAUGAACAUAAUACAAAACAAUGAACGUGGCAAAACGGAAACAGCCCUAUCUGAUGCAACAAACACAAAGACAGGAAACAACCACCCACAAAACCCCACACAAAACAGGCUACCUAAAUAUGGUUCCCAAUCAGAGACAAAUGACUAACACCUGCCUCUGAUUGAGAACCAUAUCAGGCCCAAACACAGAAACAGACAAACUAGACAUCCAACAUAGAAUACCCACUCAGAUCACACCCCUGACCAAACAAAACAUAGAAACAUACAAAGCAAACUAUGGUCAGGGUGUGACACUCUGUUUUCUGUUAGACAGGUAACCCUCUCACCAGGCUCGAAUUUGACUCUCAUGAUAUUACCUUAUGUAGAGUAUCUGAACAGCAUGUGAUGUUAGGUGAGAAGGACAUCUCCAAUAAGAAUUCCUAUUGUAAACUGUCUAGGGUGAUGACAACAGGGUAUUAACUAAAGAUGAAAUGAUUAUAGGUUUAUGUUAUUGUAUCAGGAUAGGCUAUCCCAUGCAUUCAAUUAAAUUGAAACAUUAAAUGACUCCACCAAGGCAACAUACAUAAGGUUCAAUAUGUGUAUGAUUACAUUUUCAUAGCACAACAUAAAAAAAAUAAUUAAUAAUAAACCCCAAUGAGUCGUCCAAAUUAUUUAAAGCUUAUUAACCCGUUGGCGCGCAUUGGAGCUAAAAAAAAAAUGACAACACACAAAAUCCAGAAGCACCUCACGUUGUGACUACUCACUACUAUUCCUUCAGUGAAGUAUGGCAGUUUCUUGCAGGUUUCCUCACAACAUCCACAGCAAGCACCGCUAUCAAUGCAGACAGUACUCCUUAACCGAUAUCCCAUGGGAACAUGAACUUGUUAAGCUUUCCCAACCAAUUAUCCCUCGGUGUUACACGAUGCUAGGCUAACCUCAAGGCUGUCAAAUACCUCCACGAUGAGUCUUUACUUUUAGUCUUAACAAAAUUAUAACAACUCUUAAAAUAAAAUCGGUAUUUCCCUUCAUGUCUUAGUAGGUAUGGGUUCUGUUCUAGUUUUGUCGUCAUCUUUUAUAAUUUUCUUCACCAACGGUCCUAAUGUAAAACGUCCAUCUUUUCUCAACGUCUCUUUCCCUCUCUUUUUUUCCCAACCCUCCCAUUAACCAGGUCCACUCUCCCAUUGGCCACAGCUUAAACAAGCGACCCUAUUGGUCAAAACUUAAACUUAAAAGUAAACCAAUAAAUAUUUAUUCAAAAAGAAAUGCAUUAACAACAUUACAAUUUAGGAGCAAUUCAAUCACCUUUUAAAUCUAAUAUCAAUUAAUUAUAACAAAUAAACUCAAUACCUAGUUCAAACAAGGGUAUUACAAACAGGUAACUCUUUAUCCACAUUAUAGCAGGGGGUGUAAAGCCAUAACACCCUCUGUGUUCUGUUAGACAGGUAACUCUUUAUCCACAUUAUAGCAGGGGGUGUAAAGCCAUAACACCCUCUGUGUUCUGUUAGACAGGUAACUCUUUAUCCACAUUAUAGCAGGGGGUGUAAAGCCAUAACACCCUCUGUGUUCUGUUAGACAGGUAACUCUUUAUCCACAUUAUAGCAGGGGGUGUAAAGCCAUAACACCCUCUGUGUUCUGUUAGACAGGUAACUCUUUAUCCACAUUAUAGCAGGGGGUGUAAAGCCAUAACACCCUCUGUGUUCUGUUAGACAGGUAACUCUUUAUCCACAUUAUAGCAAGGGGUGUAAAGCCAUAACAUAUACGUUUUUCCAGCAGCAGACUGUGAUCAAUAAUGUCAGAAGCUGCACUGAAGUCUAACAAGACAGCCCCCCACAAUCAUUUUAUCAUCAAUUUCUCUAAGCCAGUCAGUCAGUCAGUCAUUAGUGUACUUCAACUGUAAGUGCUGUGCUUGUUGACUGUCCUUCCCUAUCAGUGGGCUGAAAGUCUGUAGUCAAUGUGUUUCCUGUAAAAUAGCAUUGUAUCUGGUCAAACACUUUUUCAGAAGUUUACUAAGGGUUGGUAACAGGCUGAUUGGUCGGCUAUAUGAGCCAG